CCUACGGGCGGCAGCAGUAGGGAAUCUUCCACAAUGGGCGAAAGCCUGAUGGAGCAACGCCGCGUGGGUGAAGAAGGUCUUCGGAUCGUAAAACCCUGUUGUUAGAGAAGAAAGUGCGUGAGAGUAACUGUUCACGGUUCGACGGUAACUAACCAGAAAGCCACGGCUGACUACGUGCCAGCAGCCGCGGUAAUACGUAGGGGGCAAGCGUUAUCCGGAUUUAUUGGGCGUAAAGGGAACGCAGGCGGUCUUUUACGUCGGAUGUGAAAGCCUUCGGCUUAACCGGAGUAGGGCAUUGGAAACUGGAAGACUUGAGUGCAGAAGAGGAGGGGAGAACUCCAGGUGUAGCGGUGAAAUGCGUAGAUAUAUGGAAGAACACCAGUGGCGAAGGCGGCUCUCUGGUCUGUAACUGACGCUGAGGUUCGAAAGCGUGGGUAGCAAACAGGAUUAGAUACCCCAGUAGUC
rnacentral:rRNA from 1 species